rnacentral:lncRNA from 13 species
GAUGGGUAGAGGAUAAAAUAUGGAAAUGUUUCUCUUUCUAAAUGUGAUUAUAAAAUAGGAAAUUGUUAUGUCUUUUGCAGGCAUAUCUAGAGCUCUUCAAAUAAGCAAUGUGAUGUUAGAAAAAGUGCAGAAGCUCCUUCAGCACUUUCCAGGGCUAACCAGCUGCUGAGGAGGGACCUCUAGGAAGGAGAGAAGCACUCUGAUCCAGACAGGGAUUUACACCUAAAGUUCCAACUCCACCAUGUCUUCAGAACAGUUCUUCUGGACUUUGCAUCCAAUUGUGGAUAUGUUAAUUAUCAACAAACAAAAUCUCCGGGUGCCCGAAGGACCUAGGCUACACAGAAACCUGUGAACUGCCCGUGAGAAUGCAGUGAGUCAAAAGAAUAACAGAAUUAAUUGACCACAGUUAACAGAAUACUCAGAAAGUGAAACCAGGUAUAAGUGGGAACUACUGUAUUUCAAUUAGAAGUGGUCAUGUGACUCCACUCCCACUCAGUCAGGUGACUGAGCUCUGGCCAAUGGAAUGUGAAAGGAAGUGAGGUGGGCUACUUCCAGGCCUGCUUGUGAAAACCUCUUAUGUCCAACCCUUGCUCUUCCAUCACCCUCUGAUUGAAUGGUGAGGUUUAUGAAGACCCCAAUAAGAGCAGAAGCAUCAGAUGGAAGGAAAACGCAUCCCUGAGAGACCACAUGGAGUGGACCCCAACACCCCUUCUGAUCUGCGUUGAACCGUUUUGUGGGCAAGAAGUAAAAUGUUUUGUGUUAAGCCUCUGCAAAUGUGAGGUUGUUUGUUAAUGUGGUUAACACAUUCUAACUAAUACAUUGAAUAAAAUGUGCUAUAGACAAGCA